GGCGAACGCUGGCGGCGUGCCUAAUACAUGCAAGUAGAACGCUGAAGAGAGGAGCUUGCUCUUCUUGGAUGAGUUGCGAACGGGUGAGUAACGCGUAGGUAACCUGCCUUGUAGCGGGGGAUAACUAUUGGAAACGAUAGCUAAUACCGCAUAACAAUGGAUGACACAUGUCAUUUAUUUGAAAGGGGCAAUUGCUCCACUACAAGAUGGACCUGCGUUGUAUUAGCUAGUAGGUGAGGUAAUGGCUCACCUAGGCGACGAUACAUAGCCGACCUGAGAGGGUGAUCGGCCACACUGGGACUGAGACACGGCCCAGACUCCUACGGGAGGCAGCAGUAGGGAAUCUUCGGCAAUGGGGGCAACCCUGACCGAGCAACGCCGCGUGAGUGAAGAAGGUUUUCGGAUCGUAAAGCUCGGUUGUAAGUCAAGAACGGGUGUGAGAGUGGAAAGUUCACACUGUGACGGUAGCUUACCAGAAAGGGACGGCUAACUACGUG
rnacentral:rRNA from 1 species